rnacentral:rRNA from 1 species
CUAGCUGUAAACGAUGGAUACUAGGCGUUGUGAGUAUCGACCCUCACAGUGUCGUAGCUAACGCGUUAAGUAUCCCGCCUGGGGAGUACGCGCGCAAGCGUGAAACUCAAAGGAAUUGACGGGGGCCCGCACAAGCGGUGGAGUAUGUGGUUUAAUUCGAUGCGACGCGAAGAACCUUACCAGGACUUGACAUGUCGCGAAUCUCAGGGAAACUUGAGAGUGCCUUCGGGAGCGCGAACACAGGUGGUGC